AUUGAACGCUGGCGGAAUGCUUUACACAUGCAAGUCGAACGGCAGCACGGACUUCGGUCUGGUGGCGAGUGGCGAACGGAUGAGUAAUGUAUCGGAACGUGCCCAGUCGCGGGGGAUAACGUAGUGAAAAUUACGCUAAUACCGCACUCGAUCUAUGGAUGAAAGCGGGGGAUCGCAAGACCUCGCGCGAUUGGAGCGGCCGAUAUCAGAUUAGGUAGUUGGUGGGGUAAAGGCCCACCAAGCCAACGAUCUGUAGCUGGCCUGAGAGGACGACCAGCCACACUGGAACUGAGACACGGUCCAGACUCCUACGGGAGGCAGCAGUGGGGAAUUUUGGACAAUGGGCGAAAGCCUGAUCCAGCCAUUCCGCGUGCAGGAUGAAGGCCCUCGGGUUGUAAACUGCUUUUGUACAGAACGAAAAGGUUUCUACUAAUACUAGGAGCUCAUGACGGUACUGUAAGAAUAAGCACCGGCUAACUACGUGCCAGCAGCCGCCGUAA
rnacentral:rRNA from 1 species